AGAGUCGGCUUACGUUGGGGCGUUCAGUUUGAAUCCAUAGACUGUAUAGAAAUAUACACUCUGGGGACUGGGGCAUAUACAGUCUAUGUUUGCAACGAUGGACACACUGCUGGGAAGCAGUUGUAGUUUUGCAAAAAAAAAAAUGUACAAAUCAAUUGCUGUUACAGAGUUUUUAAUCCAUCAGAUCAACCGUCUGUAGUUAUUAUUUAAGUCACUGGUGGCGCGUGUGUCGCCACAGACGCUUGUUUGUUCGACAAAUAUGAAACACGGAGGCAUAUAUCUUGUACUUUCUGGACGCGCUGGAGCCGCUGUGUUGGAGUUUGCUAUAGCAGCAUUGGCAAGUUGUUUUCUUGCAGAAGGAAACCUUGCAGACAAGCAGUGAGUGGACAUGAGGGUGGCUGAUCAGUGAAGCAGCAGAUGAGCAUCCAGGAGAUCAGAGCGUCUGAACACCAUGGACAUGGUGGCGGGAUUUGCCUGGUGCCGCUGAUGCAGAGAGAAGCUCUACAGACACUGAUGAGGACGACAAACCUUCACAUGAGCACUGGAGGACAUCGCUGAAAAGGCUGAAAAUU